CCAUCAAAGUGUGUGUACAGUUGUUAGUGAAGUUCUGUAUUUUUACACACUAUUGUUCAUUUCUAGACUUCCAAAAGAAGAAACACUUCUGUUACCUGAGAAAAACAGAGAAGCUAAUGCAUGCGGAGAUGCAGCAAAAUGGAUUUCGUGAAAGAAGAAGUUAUGAACAAUGACUGCAAUCAACAGAUAAGGCUGUCAUUUUGUGACUAAAAGUUUCCAGUUCCUUAUCAAGUGACACUUCUCUUCUUCAAUU